AAUGAGAGCACUUGGACUCCACUUCAAGCGCCCUGGCUCCAUCCUGAUGGAAUCCUGGGCUCUGUAGUUUGUUGUAUUUGGAGCUCUCAGGCAGAGAAAGGACAAACGUCUCCAAAUCCUGUAAUUCUCUAGCCUUGAGCCAAGGCAGUGCAGCUGCACCAUGAGGGGGAGAGAGCGUGCGAGAGGGAGGGAAGCAAGAACUACGACUCCCAUGGUGCUCCACGGCAAGGAAAGGUAUAUAAAGGGAGGAAUGGCUUGCGAAGAGGCAGUCGGAGGCGGGAGGCUGCUUUUGCAGAGAGAGAGAGAAGGCGAGAGAGAGAGAGAAGAAGGAGCGUCCCGGGAUGUUGCGGACAGGCGGCUUUGCCUUCUCUCCGGAUGGGAUUUGGCUUCACUUGGGAGGGCUUGACAAGCAGAGCAGAGCUGGAAUGCUCCAGAUGGUGGAAGGAAGCAACUGCGGAGAGAGCUGCUCUUCCUCCAAAUCUUCCCAAUCCCACAAACGGAGCAGAAAACGGAUAGAAUUGAGACUUGCCUCUCCAUCUCCUUCACCUCUUGGACCCGUGGAAACCAACCUGAGCCGGAUGCCUCCUGGGUGAUGGGAAGGCUCUCCUUGCUCCUUCCAGCUCCAGAUGAAGCGCAUGGGACCUUCUUCCAACCAGGAUUAUUCUUUGGCCUUUUUUUCCUUUUUCUUCUUCCAAGAUGUGAAGCUCUUCCCCGUUUUGGAUGGUUGUCUCGCACCAAAUAGUGCUUUUUUUCCUCCCUAAUGUGGAAUAUAAUGCCCCCAAAGCAGUCUCUUGUCCAAGGAGGUUCUCAAGAAUCACACGGCAGAAGAAAGGUGUAAUUGGUGCACAGAAGAUGCUGACAGAAAGGCUAAGUGACCAAAGCCCAAGUGUUUGUACAGAAGGGUCCUUUCCUUAGAAAUGUCAGGAAAUGUUUUGCUCAUGACUUGCAGCAGCUCACCACUUGCAAGAUCACAAACAGAUGUCUGUUGGGUAGAAGCAAGCUCUCAUUUUACAAUCAACAGAAAUGGAGCAUGGGAUCUUCAGCUUAGCUCCAUAUUUCUAUCUCACCAGCCAGUAUCUUUGUUCAUGAUGAAGCAGUUCUCUCUUGUUUUCCCACCUUACUUAACUUCAUAGUUUCUACAUGAUCUCUUCUUGGCCAAUGUGGCUGUAUAUUGAUCUCCAUUGUGGACCUGCAAAUCGCUUCAGAUAAGGGGACAACAAUUUGGUCCAAACAGAAGUGUAUUUUCCCCUCUUUUCAUAAACAUUUCGGUUUUAUCUAUGUGGGUAGAAGCAGCAGUGGAUUUCAAAAAGAACAGCAUCAACAGAUCACUCUUUAACCUCUGUGAAUGGUUUUAAGUUCUCUAUUUCAUUCCUGGUAUAAUGAUCAUGCAAAAGGUCUCCAUGUCCAAGAAAAAGAAAGACUGGACAAGAAAAAUACAGUGCUUGAAGAAAAAAAACAUUCAUGACAGUAACUGGCGAAAUGAUGGUCCAUCCAUCAAAGACUUUAGCAUGAUGUGGUCACAUGGAAGGUGAAAUAAACUGUAAUUCUUCCAUCAGAUGAUGUUUUAAUACAUAUCUUUACCAAAGUCUCAACCUUCAGGAACACUACCUCCAAUAAGUAUGAGGAUGAAUUCAGAUAAGAAAAAAAUGUAUUAGUACAUUAGAACUAGGAGCCCUCAGUGGCGCAGCAGGUUAAACCACUGAGCUGCUGAACUUGCUGACUGAAAGAUUGGUGGUUCAGAUCUGAGGAGCGGGGUGAACUCCCAUUGUUAGCCCCAGCUUCUGCCAACCUAGCAGUUAGAAAACAUGCAAAUGUGAGUAGAUCAAUACAUACUUCUCUAGUGGGAAAUUAACAGCGCUCCAUGCAGUCAUGCCGGCCACAUGACCUUGGAGGUGUCUACGGACAAUGCUGGCUCUUCGACUUAAAAAUGGAGAUGACCCCCACCCCCCCAAGAGUUGGACAUGGCUAGACUUAAUGUCAAGGGGAAACCUUUACCUUUUACUUACAUCAGAACUUGUACAAAUGACUUGUUCAGUAAACAGUUUGAGAGUUCCUGGUACAAAAAUUUCCAGAGUUUGAUUCUAAUAGCCAUGUGUAGAAGGCCAUUAGACUACUGCAAACACAGGCUGAAAAUGUGUUUUUUUUGCUAAUAAAAAACAUCUUUUGAUCCUCUUGAGAUGUGCUCCAUUUUUUUUGGAUUUUUACAGAACUGUAUUUGGAAUGUGGCAAUAUUUCCAUUAUCCACAGGAUAUAUUCAUGUUUUCUGAAUAUAUUUUGAAUUAUUUGUCUUUUUAUGGAUAUUAUUUGAUGUAUGCUUUUUAAAUCAACAAUCAUAUUCAAAUGAGUCACCUUUUUGUAGAAACGGGGGCUGCAGGGGGAAAUGCCCUUAAAAAUGCGUCUAGAUACAUUUUACUCAAUGGAAGAUGCUUAAUUGAUACAUAUACUUGAAAGUAGGUACGCUCGUCAACUCGUGCUCGAAAUAGAUACAAAUGGGGGUGAUUAAAGAAGAUGUGAUCCACACAAAAGCUGAGGAAUGGAUCGGAUCAUCUAAGGACUUGAAAAUUUGCACCAGUUUAUAUGAGAACUGAUGCUUAAUUGAUAUCGUGCCAAAAUGUGACACUGUGAAUACAUCUUUGGGCUGGGUUGAGAGCCCCUAAGAUCUGUUUAAAUAGGAAACUGAGUAAUAAAAGGGUGUGAACACAAAA